AGAGUUUGAUCCUGGCUCAGGAUGAACGCUAGCGGCAGGCCUAAUACAUGCAAGUCGAACGAUAUUUUCCAGCUUGCUGGAAGAGAAAGUGGCGCACGGGUGCGUAACGCGUAUGCAACCUACCUUAAUCAGGGGGAUAGCCCGGAGAAAUCCGGAUUAACACCGCAUAAAAACACAGGAUAGCAUUAUCCAAUGUUCAAAUAUUAAUAGGAUUAAGAUGGGCAUGCGUGUCAUUAGCUAGUUGGCGGGGUAACGGCCCACCAAGGCGACGAUGACUAGGGGAUCUGAGAGGAUGACCCCCCACACUGGUACUGAGACACGGACCAGACUCCUACGGGAGGCAGCAGUAAGGAAUAUUGGUCAAUGGAGGCAACUCUGAACCAGCCAUGCCGCGUGCAGGAAGACUGCCCUAUGGGUUGUAAACUGCUUUUAUCCGGGAAUAAACCUCAAUACGAGUAUUGAGCUGAAUGUACCGGAAGAAUAAGGAUCGGCUAACUCCGUGCCAGCAGCCGCGGUAAUACGGAGGAUCCAAGCGUUAUCCGGAUUUAUUGGGUUUAAAGGGUGCGUAGGCGGCCUGUUAAGUCAGGGGUGAAAGACGGUAGCUCAACUAUCGCAGUGCCCUUGAUACUGAUGGGCUUGAAUGGACUAGAGGUAGGCGGAAUGAGACAAGUAGCGGUGAAAUGCAUAGAUAUGUCUCAGAACACCGAUUGCGAAGGCAGCUUACUAUGGUUUAAUUGACGCUGAGGCACGAAAGCGUGGGGAUCAAACAGGAUUAGAUACCCUGGUAGUCCACGCCCUAAACGAUGAACACUCGCUGUUGGCGAUACACAGUCAGCGGCUAAGCGAAAGCGUUAAGUGUUCCACCUGGGGAGUACGGUCGCAAG
rnacentral:rRNA from 1 species